UUUAUAUUUUAGAGUUUUAUACAAAAUUAAAAAAUAAAAUCAAAAUAGACUAAAAGGUUCGACUACUAUGGAGGAUUUUGAAAAAGAUCAGUUCUAUGGAUGUGGGUGUCAACGAUAUUUAGCCGUUGUACUUUUAAUGCCUUUUUUUAUAGCUAUAUCUUUAAUCGGAUGUACCGUCCUAUUUAUUGAAAACGCAAUUCAAUUCUUUUGUCCGAAAGCACGUUGCAUGGGAGCGUCAAGCGAUUGGGUGUACGAAAAAAUGGUGAAACUACCUAAGAAUGCUUUACAAUGGGCAAUAUAAUUACUAUUUGUA